rnacentral:rRNA from 1 species
UUAAGCGACUAAGCGUACACGGUGGAUGCCCUGGCAGUCAGAGGCGAUGAAGGACGUGCUAAUCUGCGAUAAGCGUCGGUAAGGUGAUAUGAACCGUUAUAACCGGCGAUUUCCGAAUGGGGAAACCCAGUGUGUUUCGACACACUAUCAUUAACUGAAUCCAUAGGUUAAUGAGGCGAACCGGGGGAACUGAAACAUCUAAGUACCCCGAGGAAAAGAAAUCAACCGAGAUUCCCCCAGUAGCGGCGAGCGAACGGGGAGCAGCCCAGAGCCUGAAUCAGUGUGUGUGUUAGUGGAAGCGUCUGGAAAGGCGCGCGAUACAGGGUGACAGCCCCGUACACAAAAAUGCACAUGCUGUGAGCUCGAUGAGUAGGGCGGGACACGUGGUAUCCUGUCUGAAUAUGGGGGGACCAUCCUCCAAGGCUAAAUACUCCUGACUGACCGAUAGUGAACCAGUACCGUGAGGGAAAGGCGAAAAGAACCCCGGCGAGGGGAGUGAAAAAGAACCUGAAACCGUGUACGUACAAGCAGUGGGAGCACGCUUAGGCGUGUGACUGCGUACCUUUUGUAUAAUGGGUCAGCGACUUAUAUUCUGUAGCAAGGUUAACCGAAUAGGGGAGCCGAAGGGAAACCGAGUCUUAACUGGGCGUUAAGUUGCAGGGUAUAGACCCGAAACCCGGUGAUCUAGCCAUGGGCAGGUUGAAGGUUGGGUAACACUAACUGGAGGACCGAACCGACUAAUGUUGAAAAAUUAGCGGAUGACUUGUGGCUGGGGGUGAAAGGCCAAUCAAACCGGGAGAUAGCUGGUUCUCCCCGAAAGCUAUUUAGGUAGCGCCUCGUGAAUUCAUCUCCGGGGGUAGAGCACUGUUUCGGCAAGGGGGUCAUCCCGACUUACCAACCCGAUGCAAACUGCGAAUACCGGAGAAUGUUAUCACGGGAGACACACGGCGGGUGCUAACGUCCGUCGUGAAGAGGGAAACAACCCAGACCGCCAGCUAAGGUCCCAAAGUCAUGGUUAAGUGGGAAACGAUGUGGGAAGGCCCAGACAGCCAGGAUGUUGGCUUAGAAGCAGCCAUCAUUUAAAGAAAGCGUAAUAGCUCACUGGUCGAGUCGGCCUGCGCGGAAGAUGUAACGGGGCUAAACCAUGCACCGAAGCUGCGGCAGCGACGCUUAUGCGUUGUUGGGUAGGGGAGCGUUCUGUAAGCCUGCGAAGGUGUGCUGUGAGGCAUGCUGGAGGUAUCAGAAGUGCGAAUGCUGACAUAAGUAACGAUAAAGCGGGUGAAAAGCCCGCUCGCCGGAAGACCAAGGGUUCCUGUCCAACGUUAAUCGGGGCAGGGUGAGUCGACCCCUAAGGCGAGGCCGAAAGGCGUAGUCGAUGGGAAACAGGUUAAUAUUCCUGUACUUGGUGUUACUGCGAAGGGGGGACGGAGAAGGCUAUGUUGGCCGGGCGACGGUUGUCCCGGUUUAAGCGUGUAGGCUGGUUUUCCAGGCAAAUCCGGAAAAUCAAGGCUGAGGCGUGAUGACGAGGCACUACGGUGCUGAAGCAACAAAUGCCCUGCUUCCAGGAAAAGCCUCUAAGCAUCAGGUAACAUCAAAUCGUACCCCAAACCGACACAGGUGGUCAGGUAGAGAAUACCAAGGCGCUUGAGAGAACUCGGGUGAAGGAACUAGGCAAAAUGGUGCCGUAACUUCGGGAGAAGGCACGCUGAUAUGUAGGUGAAGUCCCUCGCGGAUGGAGCUGAAAUCAGUCGAAGAUACCAGCUGGCUGCAACUGUUUAUUAAAAACACAGCACUGUGCAAACACGAAAGUGGACGUAUACGGUGUGACGCCUGCCCGGUGCCGGAAGGUUAAUUGAUGGGGUUAGCCGCAAGGCGAAGCUCUUGAUCGAAGCCCCGGUAAACGGCGGCCGUAACUAUAACGGUCCUAAGGUAGCGAAAUUCCUUGUCGGGUAAGUUCCGACCUGCACGAAUGGCGUAAUGAUGGCCAGGCUGUCUCCACCCGAGACUCAGUGAAAUUGAACUCGCUGUGAAGAUGCAGUGUACCCGCGGCAAGACGGAAAGACCCCGUGAACCUUUACUAUAGCUUGACACUGAACAUUGAGCCUUGAUGUGUAGGAUAGGUGGGAGGCUUUGAAGUGUGGACGCCAGUCUGCAUGGAGCCGACCUUGAAAUACCACCCUUUAAUGUUUGAUGUUCUAACGUGGACCCGUGAUCCGGGUUGCGGACAGUGUCUGGUGGGUAGUUUGACUGGGGCGGUCUCCUCCUAAAGAGUAACGGAGGAGCACGAAGGUUGGCUAAUCCUGGUCGGACAUCAGGAGGUUAGUGCAAUGGCAUAAGCCAGCUUGACUGCGAGCGUGACGGCGCGAGCAGGUGCGAAAGCAGGUCAUAGUGAUCCGGUGGUUCUGAAUGGAAGGGCCAUCGCUCAACGGAUAAAAGGUACUCCGGGGAUAACAGGCUGAUACCGCCCAAGAGUUCAUAUCGACGGCGGUGUUUGGCACCUCGAUGUCGGCUCAUCACAUCCUGGGGCUGAAGUAGGUCCCAAGGGUAUGGCUGUUCGCCAUUUAAAGUGGUACGCGAGCUGGGUUUAGAACGUCGUGAGACAGUUCGGUCCCUAUCUGCCGUGGGCGCUGGAGAAUUGAGGGGGGCUGCUCCUAGUACGAGAGGACCGGAGUGGACGCAUCACUGGUGUUCGGGUUGUCAUGCCAAUGGCACUGCCCGGUAGCUAAAUGCGGAAGAGAUAAGUGCUGAAAGCAUCUAAGCACGAAACUUGCCCCGAGAUGAGUUCUCCCUGACUCCUUGAGAGUCCUGAAGGAACGUUGAAGACGACGACGUUGAUAGGCCGGGUGUGUAAGCGCAGCGAUGCGUUGAGCUAACCGGUACUAAUGAACCGUGAGGCUUAACCUU